rnacentral:rRNA from 1 species
UACAGAGGUGGCAAGCGUUGUUCGGAAUUACUGGGCGUAAAGGGCGCGUAGGCGGCCAUCUAAGUCAGACGUGAAAUCCCCCGGCUUAACCUGGGAACUGCGUCUGAUACUGGACGGCUUGAGUAUGGGAGAGGGAUGUAGAAUUCCAGGUGUAGCGGUGAAAUGCGUAGAUAUCUGGAGGAAUACCGGUGGCGAAGGCGGCAUCCUGGACCAUUACUGACGCUGAGGCGCGAAAGCUAGGGGAGCGAACAGG